rnacentral:snRNA from 1 species
AGCUUUGUGCAGUGGCAGUAUUGCAGUCAGUGGGGUUUAUCUGAAGCACGAUUAUUGCUAACUGAAAACUAUUUUGAGAUAAAGUCUCAGACAGUUGCCUAGACUGGGCUGGAACUUGCAAUCCUCUUGCCUCAGCCUCCUAGAAUACUAGAAUUACAAGUGUGUGU